UACAGAGGGCUCAAGCGUUGUUCGGAUUCAUUGGGCGUAAAGGGUGCGUAGGUGGCGAGGUUAGUCAGGUGUGAAAUCUCGGGGCUCAACCCCGAAACUGCACUUGAUACUGCCUUGCUAGAGUACUGGAGAGGAGAUUGGAAUUUACGGUGUAGCAGUGAAAUGCGUAGAUAUCGUAAGGAAGACCAGUGGCGAAGGCGAAUCUCUGGACAGUUACUGACACUGAGGCACGAAGGCCAGGGGAGCAAACGGG
rnacentral:rRNA from 1 species